rnacentral:rRNA from 1 species
AGCGAACGCUGGCGGCAGGCCUAACACAUGCAAGUCGAACGAACCUUUCGGGGUUAGUGGCGGACGGGUGAGUAACACGUGGGAACGUGCCUUUAGGUUCGGAAUAACUCAGGGAAACUUGUGCUAAUACCGAAUGUGCCCUUCGGGGGAAAGAUUAAUCGCCUUUAGAGCGGCCCGCGUCUGAUUAGCUAGUUGGUUGAGGUAAUGGCUCACCAAGGCGACGAUCAGUAGCUGGUCUGAGAGGAUGAUCAGCCACAUUGGGACUGAGACACGGCCCAAAAAGAGAGGGGAGGAAGAAGUGGGGAGGGUUGAGCAAGGGGAGAAAGCAGGAAGCAGACAGGAGUCGUGAAGGAGGAAGGGCUGAGGAGUGUAGAAUUCGUAAACCAGGGAAGAAAAGGACGGAAACGGGAGAAGAAGCACCGGCUAACGGCGAGCCAGCGGCGGGGGAAACCGGCGGAAGAGCAAACGCACGAAC